rnacentral:rRNA from 1 species
AACAGGAUUCCCCUAGUAACUGCGAGUGAAGCGGGAAAAGCUCAAAUUUGAAAUCUGACGGUCUUUGGCCGUUCGAGUUGUAAUCUAGAGAAGUGUUACCCGUGCUGGACCGUGUACAAGUCUCCUGGAAUGGAGCGUCAUAGAGGGUGAGAAUCCCGUCUCUGACACGGACUACCAGGGCUUUGUGGUAUGCUCUCAAAGAGUCGAGUUGUUUGGGAAUGCAGCUCAAAAUGGGUGGUAAAUUCCAUCUAAAGCUAAAUAUUGGCGAGAGACCGAUAGCGAACAAGUACCGUGAGGGAAAGAUGAAAAGAACUUUGGAAAGAGAGUUAAACAGUACGUGAAAUUGCUGAAAGGGAAACGCUUGAAGUCAGUCACAUUGACUAGGGAUCAGCCUUGCAUUUGCAUGGUGUACUUCCUGGUUGAUGGGUCAGCAUCAAUUUUGACUGCUGGAAAAAGACCUGGGGAAUGUGACAGCUCCGGCUGUGUUAUAGACCCUUGUCAUAUACAGCAGUUGGGAUUGAGGGAUUCAGCACGCCGCAAGGCCGGGUUUCGACCACGUUCGUGCUUAGGAUGCUGGCAUAAUGGCUUUAAGCGACCCGUCUUGAAACACGGACCAAGGAGUCUAACAUGCCUGCGAGUGUUUGGGUGGAAAACCCAAGCGCGUAAUGAAAGUGAAAGUUGAGAUCCCUGUCGUGGGGAGCAUCGACGCCCGGACCAGAACUUUUUGGGACGGAUCUGCGGUAGAGCAUGUAUGUUGGGACCCGAAAGAGGUGAACUAUGCCUGAAUAGGGUGAAGCCAGAAGAAACUCUGGUGGAGGCUCGUACCGAUUCUGACCUGCAAAUCGAUCGUCAAUUUGGGU